AGAACCUUUAACACAGUCCCGUGAGGCUGAGAAGGAAAACGGAAAUGUUGACUAUGGUCAAACGUAGGACCUAGUAUAACUAUCUCUUCGUAAACCCUCUCACAAAUCGGUGAGAGGGUUUUUCGUUU
rfam:Bacillus sp. SA1-12 scf7180000003354, whole genome shotgun sequence.